GCGGGGUUGAUUCCAUGAUGCGCAGCGUUCGGAUUUGGAACAUUUCUUUGAGCCAAUGCCAAUGCGUGUGUAAAGUCAAUGAUGAAAGGGAUUCAAGUCUUCGUUCAAAGCUCGCAGGCUGCCAAAACCGAUACCCCAAAUUUCCAAAUGCCUUUUCCCCACGUAUAUAUAAAACAAUCCCGGCCAUUUCUAUGGUUUUCAUGAUUCGAUCUUGCCGAAUUCCAGGUUUAUCCUUCUGGGCAUUUUGGUUUCCUGGGCAUGAUUGUAUCUCCCUGUUGAGAUUCAUAGGUUUUCCAGCUGGGAUUGUGGGUUUUUAGUUUCCUCCAGGUUUUGUUUAGGUGAAGUUCGCCAACCACUUGUUUGUAUUUAAGCUUAGAUUACUGGCUUUUCAUACCUAUAUUAUUUAAUUUAGUUGGUUUCUGGGGUUCUGUCGUUUGAAAUUAUAUUUCUGGGUUGGUUUUAAAGUUGAUUUUCUGGGGGGUUUGUGGCUCCGUGGGUACCUCUUUCUUGGUUGUUUUCCUUGGAAGAAGCUGAAAUUUGUUAAACUUUUGCUCUUGGGAAGACCAAAGCUUUGUACUUCUCACUGGGUUUGUUUGCGUUUUCUGGGAUUUGUGGCUAGUUUGAGAAAAGACCAGUUGAAAAGACGGAAAUGGGAAAUGGCAGAAGAAAGAAGCUGCAUUUAAGCAAGAUCUAUUCAUUUAGGUGCGGGAAAGCAUCUUUUGAGGAAGAUCAUUCACAGAUUGGGGGCCCUGGGUUCUCAAGAGUAGUUUAUUGCAAUGAACCAGAUAGCCCUCAGGCUCUAGGCCGUAAUUAUGGUGGCAACUAUGUGAGGAGCACAAAAUAUACAGCAGCAAGUUUCUUGCCCAAGUCCUUGUUUGAGCAGUUCAGGAGGGUGGCUAAUUUCUACUUCCUUGUCACCGGCAUCUUGGCCUUCACCCCACUCUCUCCUUACUCUGCAGUUAGUGCUAUUCUCCCUCUAAUUAUAGUGAUUGGUGCAACCAUGGUGAAGGAAGGUAUCGAGGAUUGGCGCCGCAAACAGCAGGAUAUUGAGGUGAACAACAGAAAGGUUAAAGUACAUCGCGGAGAUGGAGUUUUUGAGCAUACUGAAUGGAGGAAUCUCAGAGUAGGAGACAUAGUGAAGGUGGUGAAGGAUGAGUUCUUUCCGGCUGAUCUUCUCUUGCUUUCAUCCAGUUACGAUGAUGGGAUCUCUUAUGUUGAAACCAUGAACCUUGAUGGUGAAACAAAUUUGAAACUAAAACAGGCUUUGGAGGUAACUUCGUUUUUACAGGACUCUAAUUUCAAGGAUUUUAAAGCCUUUGUUAAGUGCGAAGACCCAAAUGCAAAUUUGUACACAUUUAUUGGAAGUAUGGAAGUUAAAGACGAACAGUAUCCUCUUACUCCUCAACAACUUCUUCUUAGAGAUUCCAAACUCCGGAAUACCGACUACAUAUUUGGGGCUGUUAUCUUCACAGGUGCUGAUACAAAGGUUAUUCAAAACUCUACUGACCCCCCUUCAAAGAGAAGCAAAAUUGAGAAAAAAAUGGACAAAAUUAUCUACUUCUUAUUCGGUGUCCUAUUUUUGCUGUCUUUUAUUGGAUCGGUUUACUUCGGCAUUAAAACUAAAGAUGACCUUGAUAAUGACACCAUGAAAAGGUGGUAUCUAAGGCCGGAUCAUUCUACAAUUUUCUUUGAUCCAGACAGAGCCCCAGCUGCUGCAAUAUAUCACUUUCUGACGGCUUUGAUGCUGUAUAGUUACUUGAUACCAAUCUCCUUGUAUGUGUCAAUAGAAAUUGUCAAAGUUCUGCAGAGCCUUUUCAUCAAUAAUGACAUCAAUAUGUACUAUGAAGAAACUGACAAACCAGCGCAUGCUCGUACCUCAAAUUUAAAUGAGGAACUUGGACAAGUUGACACGAUACUUUCUGAUAAGACUGGAACGUUGACUUGCAAUUCAAUGGAGUUCAUCAAAUGCUCUGUGGCUGGGACAGCUUAUGGACGUGGUGUCACUGAAGUAGAGAGGGCUAUGGCUAGAAGAAAAGGAUCUCCAUUGGCCAAUGAAAUGGUAAAUGGUAAGGACAAUCCUGAGGAAUCCGCUGAUAAAAAAUCACCCAUCAAAGGCUUCAACUUCGAGGAUGAAAGGAUCAUGAAUGGGAAUUGGGUUAAUGAACCCCAUUCGGAUGUCAUACAGAGAUUUUUUCGUGUGUUGGCAAUCUGUCAUACAGCCAUUCCUGAAGUUGAUGAAGAUACCCAGAAGCUCUUAUAUGAAGCUGAGUCGCCAGAUGAGGCAGCUUUUGUGAUUGCAGCAAGAGAACUUGGCUUUGAAUUUUACAAAAGAACGCAAACAACUGUCUCAUUGCAUGAGCUGGACCCUGUUUCUGGAAAAGAAGUUGAAAGGUCAUAUAAACUUCUGAAUGUUUUAGAAUUUAAUAGCACAAGGAAGCGGAUGUCUGUAAUAGUAAAAAGUGAGGAGGGAAAGAUAUUAUUACUCUGUAAAGGUGCUGACAGUGUCAUGUUUGAAAGGCUUGCCAAAAAUGGAAGACAGUUUGAAGAAGAAACCAGGGAACAUGUGAAUGAAUAUGCUGAUGCAGGUUUGAGGACCUUAAUACUUGCUUAUCGCGAACUCAGUGAGGAAGAGUACAAAGAUUUCAAUGAAAAGUUUUCAGAGGCCAAGAAUUUAGUCAGUGCAGAUAGGGAGGCAUUGAUUGAUGAAAUGACUGAGAAAGUUGAGAGGGAUUUGAUUCUUCUUGGUGCAACAGCUGUUGAGGACAAACUCCAACAAGGGGUGCCUGAGUGCAUUGACAAACUGGCCCAAGCAGGAAUAAAACUAUGGGUUUUGACAGGAGAUAAGAUGGAGACUGCCAUCAAUAUUGGCUUUGCUUGUAGUUUGCUUAGACAAGGAAUGAAGCAAAUAAUAAUAGACUUGGAUACACCAGAUAUCAAAGCGCUAGAGAAAGCAGGAGAAAAAGAAGUCAUUGCCAAGGCUUCAAAGGAAAGUGUCCUCCGCCAGAUAAAUGAAGGGAACUCCCUGCUCAAGGCAUCUGCUGGAAGCUCUGAAGCAUUUGCCUUAAUCAUUGAUGGGAAAUCACUUGCAUAUGCACUGAAGGAGGACAUACAGAAAAUGUUUCUAGAACUUGCCAUUGGCUGUGCAUCUGUCAUUUGUUGCCGUUCAUCGCCAAAACAGAAGGCACUUGUUACGAGACUUGUUAAAGAAGGAAAUGGUAAGACGACAUUAGCAAUUGGAGAUGGUGCCAAUGAUGUGGGGAUGCUUCAGGAAGCUGAUAUCGGAAUUGGAAUCAGUGGUGUUGAAGGAAUGCAGGCAGUCAUGUCAAGCGAUAUAGCAAUUGCUCAGUUCAAAUUUUUGGAGAGAUUGCUAUUGGUGCAUGGGCAUUGGUGUUACAGAAGGAUCUCUUCCAUGAUAUGCUACUUCUUCUAUAAGAAUAUCACGUUUGGGAUCACCCUCUUCCUUUACGAGGCACAUGCAUCUUUCUCUGCACAAUCUGCAUACAACGAUUGGUUUCUGUCUCUAUACAACGUCUUCUUCACGUCACUUCCUGUCAUUGCCAUGGGUGUUUUUGACCAGGAUGUAUCAGCUCGGUUUUGCCUCAAGUUCCCCUUGCUGUACCAAGAAGGCGUGCAGAACGUCCUCUUCAGCUGGCGCCGUAUACUUGCCUGGAUGUUUAACGGGCUUUGCAGUGCAGUCAUUAUCUUCUACUUCUGUAUAAAAGUAUUAGAUCCUGAGGCCUUCGACACAAAUGGAAAGGUUGCCGGGCUGGAAAUUGUUGGGGCGACAAUGUAUUCUUGUGUCGUUUGGGUUGUGAACAUCCAGAUGGCCCUAGCUGUGAGUUACUUCACCUGGAUACAACAUCUUUUCAUCUGGGGUGGCAUUGCUCUCUGGUAUCUUUUCCUCUUAGUAUAUGGAGCCAUGCCUUCUGAUUACUCCACCACUGCUUACAAAGUCUUCGUCGAGUGCCUAGCCCCAUCGCCCUUCUUUUGGUUCAUCACGCUCUUUGUGGUGAUCUCGGCCCUCAUCCCGUACUUCUCAUACUCAGCAGUUCAGAUGCGGUUCUUCCCAAUGUACCAUGGCAUGAUACAGUGGAUAAGGCACGAGGGUCAAUCAGAUGACCCCGAAUACGUCAAUAUGGUCCGGCAAAGAUCAAUCCGGCCCACAACCGUGGGCACUACAGCACGGAUAGCUGCAAAAAAUCAUCCUUGUAGAAGAAGAUAACCACAGUCGAUCCUGUGCCCGAGCUCCACGCGAUGAUCAUGGGUUGGUGAAUCUGCUGAAGAAUUGCAACUCUGUUGUCCGUUGUGUCCCAGGUUGUUUCAUUGUGACCAUAAAAGUAUGCCGAUGAACAACCAUGUACAGAAGCAUAUUUUGAGCUUGUACCACAUGUUAGAUAGAAAGCAAAAGCCCCUGAAUCUUUUGUUCGUCUGUUCGAGCAACAAUGCAGUGCCAUCGAUGGGCGGGUUGGCAUCGGCCUGGCUGGCUCCGAUCAGCUAGAGGAACCGGAGAUAUGAUCGGAGGUGUCAGUUUUUCCGGCUUCCAAAUGGUUUGGAUGUUGGCCAGCUGGAUUGAAGGGUCUGCACGUUGUACCCAGAAAGACGAACAUCCAAGGCAGCAUCACAAGGUGAGUGACUGGAUGGAACUGGAGAAGAUCUGAAGCCCACAAAAGCAAGCAAAUUUGGAUCCAAACGUCUUGAGGAGGGCGAGUCUCGUAGCAGUGGUGAAGUUGCUCCUAGAAGGUCACAUAUAAAUAUGAUUCUUUCAAGACUUUGUAAAAUGAGAAAUUCCAUGCCGAAUUUUAUCUACGUCAGGGUUCACUUAAAAAUAUUUGUGAUGUUAGAGAAGAGUUACUUUGAUGGUCUUUUAAUAAUAUAAAUAAAUAUUAAAAAUUAUAUAAAA